AGAGAGUCACCUGCAGCUCAGUCUUACCCCAGGUGCUGGGCCCAAGUCUGCUCUUAGAGGAAAUGUAAGUAGCUUAUAUCACUCAGUAUCGGGUCAGCUAGGCUCUGGGUUCUGUUCUGAGCUCCUGCUCUAUUUCUAGCUGUGAAGUUUCCACUUGAUUCCUGUCACAGGCUCUACCUUGUAUUCCAGUUCAAAUAACUGGGCUUUGGCCUUUGUUCUUUCUUCUACAUUCUGCCUCUAAGUUUCUCUAAGACUGGAAUUUUGCCUUUCCUUAUCAGUCCUUCCUAGAACUUCAGUCCCUCCCAGAACUUCAGUCCCCUCCUUGGCCCUGGGGCCUCACUCCAGGCUGCUUGAUCCACUUAUGGUUAUUGCUUGCUGGGUUCACCUUCUUCUCCUUUCUGCAGGUGGAACACAGACUGAUGACAACCACGUGCUGAGAUCCCCUGUUACUGCCUAGACACAAAUUGCUAUCUAGGUCCUGUUUCACUGCCUGGCAGAACUGCCUUGCUACUUCUGGUUUGGCUCGCCAUUGCCUGAAUUCCUAAACUCCAUUCUGAAUAUUACUAGUGAAAAAUGCACGGCAGGGCGCAGUGGCUCAUGCCUGUAACCCCAGCCCUUUGGGAGGCUGAGGCAGGUGACUCACCUGAGGUCAGGAGUUCGAGACCAGCCUGGCGAACAUGGUGAAACCUCGUCUUUACUAAAAAUACAAAAAUUAGCCAGGCAUGGUAGUGGGCACCUGUAAUUCCAGCUACUCAGGAGGCUGAGGCAUGAGAAUUGCUUGAACCCGGGAGGCAGAAGUUGUAGUGAGCCGAGAUCACACCACUGCACUCUAGCAUGGGCUAUAUAGAGCGAGACUCAGUCUCAAAAAAAAAAAAAAAAAAAGAAAAAUGUGCUACUUUGGUAUUGAAAUUAGCAUCCAACAUCAGCUUUUGGAG
rnacentral:lncRNA from 1 species